rnacentral:lncRNA from 1 species
AUAGUGUGCCUGCAACGCUUCCGGUUCUUUUCUCUAUUCAUCUUUUGGUUCUUGAUUUUAAUAUCUGAAAGGACAAUCUUAUUAGUGGAAUUACAAGAACGUUUAGAUAGAUUUUUUAACUGAGAAAAAUGGUAGUUACCACCGGUGGUAGUUAGCACCAUUUGCGUUUUGUAUAUUGUAUGUAGUAUCUAUCAAAUCGGAGAGUAUGUAUGUGUAGUAUGUAGUAUAUAAUCGUGUUUAGGAAGUAUAUAUAUUGUUUUUUGGUACUAUGUAUCAUAUUUUGUGUAUGCUAUUUUUUACAUACAAAUAUAUACGUAUUUCGUAAAUAUAAUAAAAACUAUGGGUCAACUUGUAAUUUUUUCAUAUAACUCACUUUGAAAAAUCUUAUAUAUAGUAUAUGAACAUAAUAAAAAUGAUAAAUUAGUACAUAUACUCCCACGUGGUAGUAUAUAUAUUUGAUUAUGAAACCAUUUUUCAUGACAAAUCCAAUUAUACAACAAAAACUGAUGUUAUGCUUCACACUCUACGUUUGCAUAUCAUGAUUGGUGGAAAGAACAAGACGUCCUAAAACAAGUGCAUCUUCUUGAGUCCCCCUAUGGCGACUCGGGCGACGCCCAAACCCUUGCCACGGGGGGUGCGAAUCCCUCUUUCCCUCUCUCCGCCAUUGCUGGGGGAUGUCGCCGGGCUAAGCCAGGGGGCCGACGACGCUGGUGGGGGACUCCCUCUCUUUCGUGUCUUACGGGUGGUGCCGGUCCCCUAAAUGUGAGAAGGUGCGGAGGAUCGGCCUUGGCGGCGUGACGAUGAUGGUUGUGGCAUGUGGCGGCGUAGCGGUCGACCUUGCCUCGGACGGCAGGCAGCCCGACCACUUAGACAGUGUUGGCUGCGACCAAGGAAGAUGGUCCUGUUCGGGCAGGGGCGGUGACCGGUUAUGCUACGACGGGCCAUCUGGCUUUAGAUCCGCGGCGGCGUGGAGGUCCUAGUGGCUAGCUCGACGGCAUGCAUGGCUUGGUCUCCAGUUAGAUCUGUUUUGGCCGGGGCGACAUCAUGUGGGCUGCAAGGCUUGAGAGAACGGUGACGGGUCAUGCACACGUUGCUAGAUGUACGUUUGUAGCGCAGAUCCGGGCGAAAACCUUGCUCUUGUCUUGUUGCCAAGGUCGGUGAUUGUGGCGCUCUUCUAUAUCAUUCCCGUCCUGAAGGCACCUCCUUGGAGAAGCUUCAAACUUCUAUCUUCUACCCCUGGGGCAAACCCUAGGUCUGUCGGUCGGUGUCGUUCCCCCCUUGAGGACAUCAUUCCUGGAGGUGUGCAUUGGCUCGAGGGACCAGUGGAUGUCUUCUACUGUGGAGCGGCGUUUCAGGCGAUGCAUCAACGAUAUGGACUCUCGUUGGCAUGGCGCAACAUUAUAUUGGCAACAGAUAUGUGAUGAUGGAUGCGCGUAGCAAGGUGGCGACAUGUGUAGCCUUGGUGGCGUCAACGACAAGCCUCACAAGGUGGAUGCAUCAGUACCUGCUCUGAAGAUGGAUCAGUGGAAGAUGGUGGCAACAGCCUCGGCAAUGCUUCGUCUCGCAGAUGCCUUGGUUUCCCUCCAAGCUUAAAGGGUGAUGUACUUAAGAAACCAAUGUAUCAGUCCAGUAGGAAGAUCCACAAGACUAUGUAAGCAGCACCUGCACACAAAUAGCAAAUCCUCGCAACCCAACACAUGGAGGGGUUGUCAAUCCCUCGUGGGUAAAGUAAGGAUAGAUUGAUAGAUGCAAAUAAGAGUGAUAGCAAAUAGAAUGGAGAAAGCUAUUUUGUUUUUGUUUUUUGAUAAUAUAGAUCUGACAAUAAAAGAGCAAAUAAAGUAGAAAAGAAAAUAACAAAGUAGAGAUUGCAAAUAGAUGAUGUGAAGUAGACCCGGGGGCCGUAGGUUUCACUAGUGGCUUCUCUCGAGAAAUAGGAAACGAUGGGUAGACAAAUUACUGUUAGGCAAUUGAUGGAAGAGCAAAUAAUUAUGACAAUAUUGAAGACAAUGAUCAUGUAUAUAUGCAUCACGUCCAAGAUAAGUAGACCGACUUCUGCCUGCAUCUACUUCUAUUACUCCAUACAUCGACCGCUAUCUAGCAUGCAUCUAGUGUAUUGAGUUCAUGGUGAAACGAAGUAAUGCCUUAAGAAUGAUGACAUGAUGUAGACAAGAUCUAUUCAUGUAGGAAUAGAUCCCAUCGUUUUAUCCUUGAUAGCAACGAUACAUGUGUGUCAUGUCUCUUUCUGUCUCUGAGAUUGAGCACCGCAAGAUCGAACCCAUCACAAAGCACCUCUUCCCAUUGCAAGAUAAAAGAUCAAGUUGGCCAGACAAAAACCAAAUAUCGGAGAAAAAAUACGAGGCUAUUAUAAUAAAGCAUGAAUAUGUUUUCAUAGAUCUGAUCAUAAACUCACAGUUCAUCGGAUCCCAACAAAAACACCGAAAAAGAAAGAGUUAGAUCAUAUGGAUCUCCAAGAAACCAUUGUAUUGAGAAAUAAAACGAGAGAGAAAGCCAUCUAGCUAGUGCCUACGGACCCGUAGGUCUAAUAUGAUCUACUCACGCAUCAUCGUAGGAGCACCAAUGAGGAUGGUGAACCCCUUCGUGAUAGUGUUCCUCUCCGGAACGGGCUCUAGAUUGGAUAUCAUGGCUCCGGAACUUGCGGGGCUGAAAAGAUUUUUCAGUACCUCCUCUGGGGUUUGCUGAAUAUUCGAGUGAGGUGAUGGAGAAGGUUCUCAAGGGCCCCACUAGACACCAGACCGCGCCAAGGGCCUCUAGCGUGCCCUGAUGUCUAGUGCCCCCCCGAGCCUCGUCUUGUACUCAUUCUUGGUUCCCAAGUUUCCUUCUGGUCCAAAAAAAUAUCCGUAUAGUUUCGUGGCAAUUGGACCUCAUCUGAUAUGGAUUUUCUGUGAAGGAAAAACAGUAAAAAUUAGCAACUAGCACUAGGCACUAUGUCAAUAGGUUAGUCCUAAAAAUGAUACAAAGUUGAUAUAAAAUGGUCAUAAAAUAUCCAAGAAUGAUAAUAUAACGAAAUGGAACAAUAAAAAAAUUAUAGAUACGUUUCAGACAUAUCAGCAGCGUGCACAUGCGAUGCACGCUAACAGUGCGCCGAACUGGACUGUGACCUAGACCCGACAUUUCAGCUUGGUUGGGGCCUCCGGCUUUAGAUGGCAAUGUUUGGUGGGAGGUCCGAGUAUGCUGCCCCGGCAAUCUACAUCCCUGCGUCAAUUGGAUAGGAGUAGCGAAGGAUUUUGCGAAGAUGGUAACUUUUGAGACUUAUUGAUGCAUUACUUUGUAAGGUCUUGAUGAAUAAUUAAUAAAAUGACUGCAUGCAUCGUCCUAAUGCAGAGGAUGGGGUCCUCUUUUUUUUCUAAAAAUAUAUACUUGAUUCUUUGUUGGUAUCUCAUGGCACAUCUAUGAUGAAAUGACAAGAGUAUGUAACUUUGCAUUUUAUUACAUUAAAACUUUGGAAGAAACUAGUAUUUUGUGUAUGUCUAUUUAAAUAUGGUAUUCUCUUAGAGAAAGAUAAUAGCGACUUUAUGAUCCAUAAUUAGUUGAAUCAUAUACUACGUGAUCUGUAAUCUUUAGAAGACGACAAUCCUCUGUCCAAACUCGAAACUACUCUCUGUGUCCCAUAGUAAGUGACGUGGUUUUAGUUCAAAUAUGUAUAGCUAUUUUCAUCUCAAUAUUUUUGAAUUGGAAACCAUAAUGCUUUCGUAGACACCAUGAGUACUUCGUUAAACUGAAAUUAUAUUUUAGAUUAUUGCUAUAAUUCUAUUAAUUAUAUACAUUUCAUGUAACACAAUGUGUAUUGCCAAAUUUUUCUCAAAGGGGCAUCCCUGCAUAUAAGGUUUCCCUGAAAAGAAUAGUGGAUAGGCCGGGUAGGAUAGGAUUCGCAAAAUCUUUACAAGGAUUUCUCAUCAUGAGAUUAUGUUGUAGAUAUGAUUAUCUCACACUAAUGUUAAUAUCAACCAAAAUUCAUUGGUUAUGAUGCAAUUGAUAGAGGUCAAAUCCAAGCACUAAUCAGAUUCGAGUCAUGUCCUGAUGACUUUCCUAUCCUUAAGUAUGCUUAUGAUAAUUCAAUAAUCAUGUCUGCAAGUACAUCACAAUUACGCCAUAUGCAAAAUCUAUUACAAAUUUUCUCUCAAGCAUCUGGCCUCAAAGUAAACUUCUAAAAGUCAAAUCUAUUGCGCAUCAGCAUCAACAUGUGNNNNNNNNNNNNNNNNNNNNNNNNNNNNNNNNNNNNNNNNNNNNNNNNNNNNNNNNNNNNNNNNNNNNNNNNNNNNNNNNNNNNNNNNNNNNNNNNNNNNAAAGACUUCAACAUCUCUAACAAUCACAACUGGUGUGAUAUUGCACUUACUAGWAAAAGGCUUAUCCCCAAUACUCACUAGUUAGUGGCGCACCAUGAUGGUCGGUGCGCCACUGCUAUAUAGCAGUGGCGCACCAGAAUCAGGUGUGCCAUUGUUAUGUUUUUACUAAUGGCGAACUACAUGAGAGUGCGCCAUUGCUAUUUUUGCUCUAUCCCCAACCCCACCAGACAUAGCAAUGGCACACCACACCUAGGUGCGCCAGUGCUAUGCUACAUAGUAGUGGCGCACCUAGGCGUGGUGCGCCAUUGCUAUUUUUUUGCCAUCCCCCCACCAGACAUAGCAAUGGCACACCACACCUAGGUGCGCUACAGCUAUGCUACAUAGUAGUGGCGCACCUAGGUGUGGUGCGCUGAUACGUCCAUUUUGCAUCAUGCUUUCAUGUUGAUAUUUAUUGCUUUAUGGGCUGUUAUAUUACUUGUGGUACCAUAUUUAUGCCUUUUCUCUCUUAUUUUGCAAGGUUUAUUUGAAGAGGGAGAAUUCAGGCAGCUGGAAUUCUGGACUGGAAAAGGAGCAAAUCUUAGUCCACUAUUCUGCACAUCUCCAAAUGCCCUGAAAAGUUUCCUGGUAUUUUUUUGGGAUUAUAAUAAAAAAUACUGGGCAAAAGAACUACCGGAGGGGGGCUGCCAGGGCGCCACAAGCGCUGACACCGCCACCCCCUGGUGGCGGAGUGGGGGCUUGUGGGCUCCCUCACGGCCCACUAGCCCCCUCUUUUGCUAUAUGAAGGGUCUUGGUCCAGAAAAAUAAAUCAAUAGGGAGCUUUUUCAUGGUUUCGUCGCCGCCACGAGGCGGAACUUGAGCAGAUCCAAUCUAGAGCUCCGACAGGACGCUCCUGCCGGGGAAACUUCGCUCCCGGAGGGGGAAAUCAUCGCGAUCGUCAUCACCAACACUCCUCUCGUCGGAGGGGAGGCAUCUUCAUCAACAUCUUCAUCAGCACCAUCUCCUCUCCAAUCCCUAGUUCAUCUCUUGUAAUCAAUCUCCGUCUCAUGACUCCGAUUGGUACUUGUAAGGUUGCUAGUAGUGUUGAUUACUCUUUGUAGUUGAUGCUUGUUGGAUUAAUUGGUGGAAGAGUUUAUGUUCAGAUCCUUGAUGCUAUUCAUUACACCUCCGAUCAUGAUUAUGAUUAUGUUUUGUGAGUAGUUACUUUUGCUCCUGAGGACAUGGGAUAAGUCAUGUUAAUAAUAGUCAUGUGAAUUUGAUAUUCGUUCGGUAUUUUGAUAUGCUGUAUGUUGUCUUUUCCUCUAGUGGUGUUAUGUGAAUGUCGACUACAUAACACUUCACCAUAUUUCACCUCGCUACACAAUCACUUGUUACCGCUACUUUUAGUGCUUGCAGUUAUUACCUUGCUGAAAUCCGUUUAUCAGAGCCUUCUGCUCCUCGUUGGGUUUGACACUCUUUCUUAUUGAAAGGACUACGAUUGAUCCUCUAUACUUGUGGGUCAUCAAGACUCUUUUCUGGCGCCGUUGCCGGGGAGUAAAGCGCCUUUGGUAAAUGGAAAUUGAUAAGGAAACAUUUAUAUACUGUGUGCUGAAAUUUAUUGUCACUUGUCACUAUGGAAACUGUUCCUUUGAGGAGUUUGUUCGGGGUAUGUGACAGCCCGAUGCCGACGUUCCAGAAGGUUCCCCCUUUAUUCCGUUUUCGUCGUGUGGUUAUUUUAAUUUGUUGCAUCAUCAUCGCAUCAUGCACGUCAUCUACAUUGCAUCGGCAUCUUCGUUGCCGCCAGUUUUCGAACUUGCAUGCGUCGUUAGUUGCCGGUUAUCGUCGUUGUCCGUUCUGAGCCCGACCGCACACGCACGCGCCCGCGGCACCGUCGUAACCCUGUUUUUAAAGUGUGUGUAAAACUUCCUCUGAUCGGGUUGAGAUUUGGCAUGCGGUCGUAAUUAGUUCUAGCUAGGCCGCCUGUCGAAUUUCGUCGCGAACGGAGUUCGUCUAGUACCGAACGGUCGUCCGUAGCGGCACCGUAUCCGGUCUACCGUCGGACGUGUUCCGGUGUUUUAAAUUGCAUUGCCGCGCCGCCCGUUCUCCCUCUUGUCUCCGGAUAUCCCCUCUACACGGCCGCAUACCCGUUCCCGCGUGCGGAAUCGUUCGAAUCCGACCCNNNNNNNNNNNNNNNNNNNNNNNNNNNNNNNNNNNNNNNNNNNNNNNNNNNNNNNNNNNNNNNNNNNNNNNNNNNNNNNNNNNNNNNNNNNNNNNNNNNNCCGUUUUGWACACGAAGUGCAUCCAGUUUUUGUCGUAGCCCUCUCAACUUUUUAACACAUGCUAUGUGGGUGAAAUGAUGAUAGCAUGCCAACUUUCAACAUUUUCAGAGUUCAUUUGUAGUGCUUUUCAAUUUCAGGGUCAACUAGCUCAAAAAAAAAGUAAAAUGCACGAAGAACACCAAAUGAAGUCAGAAAUUGUUGAAAAUUUGUGAUGUGCCUUUGAAUGGUGCAUUUUGAACACGCAAAAAGUAUGGAAUUCAAAUAAGUUCAAAAAAAUGAAAUCCCUUUAUAAGAGAUGAGUUCUCGUUCGAAACCGUGAUACUUCGAGAGAGAUUGUCCGCUUUGUACACGAAGUGCAUCCAGUUUUUGUCGUAGCCCUCUCAACUUUUUAACACAUGCCAUGUGGGUGAAAUGAUGAUAGCAUGCCAACUUUCAAACACUUUUCAUUAUCAUAGUUUUGUCAAAUUCUCAAAUAUGCAAAAAGAAUUUUAAUAAACAUAGUUUUUAAUUGAAAAUAACAAAAUAGUUAAUAGUUCGGAUAGUCAAAAUAAUAAUUUUGAAAAUAGAAAAUAAGUUUUGAAUUAUUAUUCAAUUUCAAACACUUUUCAUUUUCAUAGUUUUGUGAAAUUCUCAAAUAUGCAAAAAGAAUUUUAAUAAANNNNNNNNNNNNNNNNNNNNNNNNNNNNNNNNNNNNNNNNNNNNNNNNNNNNNNNNNNNNNNNNNNNNNNNNNNNNNNNNNNNNNNNNNNNNNNNNNNNNAAAAAAGAGCUAGAAUUCAAAAGGUCAAAGGCUAAGAAUGGUGGGGAUAUUCAGCCAGCGGGGACCAAUCUAUGUGGAUACUAUGUCUGUGAGAUGAUCCGGAGAUACACCUCUGAGCGGGUUCCGAGUGAUACCAAUGCUCAGAGGAAUAACCUCCGGGUGAUGCUUAGUCCAGAAGCUCGCUUCCGACCACUUCAAGAGGAACUAGCUGGAUGGUUCAGGAGGGAAGUCCUCCAUCCUAAAGGAGAACACCAUUACGAGGACGUAGAACUUUAUAUGCAUUAAAUUAUGUAUGGAAACUUGUUCAAAAUUGUAUAUGGUCAUCCGAUGAUAUUGAAUAUAUAUUGUAUAUUCCUCUUGAAUUCUUUUUGGUUCUAAUUUCAAAUUUGUUUGAAAUUGUACAUUCAUAUGCAUGUAUGUAGUACCGUAGAAUAUGUGAAACUCCUUCAAAAUUAAAAUAAAGCACAAAAGAAAUAAAACAAUACAAAUUAAACAGAAAACAGGUUUGGGGGGGCUAAAACCCUAAACCUGCGGCGGCCUUUAGUCGCGGUUGUCCAUAAGAACCGCGACUAAAGGUCCUCCGCCCCGACGGCCGCCUGGCGCCCACGUGGACGGGCCUUUAGUUNNNNNNNNNNNNNNNNNNNNNNNNNNNNNNNNNNNNNNNNNNNNNNNNNNNNNNNNNNNNNNNNNNNNNNNNNNNNNNNNNNNNNNNNNNNNNNNNNNNNUAGACCGGAUACGGUGCCGCUACGGACGACCGUUCGGUACUAGACGAACUCCGUUCGCGACGAAAUUCGACAGGCGGCCUAGCUAGAACUAAUUACGACCGCAUGCCAAAUCUCAACCCGAUCAGAGGAAGUUUUACACACACUUUAAAAACAGGGUUACGACGGUGCCGCGGGCGCGUGCGUGUGCGGUCGGGCUCAGAACGGACAACGACGAUAACCGGCAACUAACGACGCAUGCAAGUUCGAAAACUGGCGGCAACGAAGAUGCCGAUGCAAUGUAGAUGACGUGCAUGAUGCGAUGAUGAUGCAACAAAUUAAAAUAACCACACGACGAAAACGGAAUAAAGGGGGAACCUUCUGGAACGUCGGCAUCGGGCUGUCACAUACCCCGAACAAACUCCUCAAAGGAACAGUUUCCAUAGUGACAAGUGACAAUAAAUUUCAGCACACAGUAUAUAAAUGUUUCCUUAUCAAUUUCCAUUUACCAAAGGCGCUUUACUCCCCGGCAACGGCGCCAGAAAAGAGUCUUGAUGACCCACAAGUAUAGAGGAUCAAUCGUAGUCCUUUCAAUAAGAAAGAGUGUCAAACCCAACGAGGAGCAGAAGGCUCUGAUAAACGGAUUUCAGCAAGGUAAUAACUGCAAGCACUAAAAGUAGCGGUAACAAGUGAUUGUGUAGCGAGGUGAAAUAUGGUGAAGUGUUAUGUAGUCGACAUUCACAUAACACCACUAGAGGAAAAGACAACAUACAGCAUAUCAAAAUACCGAACGAAUAUCAAAUUCACAUGACUAUUAUUAACAUGACUUAUCCCAUGUCCUCAGGAGCAAAAGUAACUACUCACAAAACAUAAUCAUAAUCAUGAUCGGAGGUGUAAUGAAUAGCAUCAAGGAUCUGAACAUAAACUCUUCCACCAAUUAAUCCAACAAGCAUCAACUACAAAGAGUAAUCAACACUACUAGCAACCUUACAAGUACCAAUCGGAGUCAUGAGACGGAGAUUGAUUACAAGAGAUGAACUAGGGAUUGGAGAGGAGAUGGUGCUGAUGAAGAUGUUGAUGAAGAUGCCUCCCCUCCGACGAGAGGAGUGUUGGUGAUGACGAUCGCGAUGAUUUCCCCCUCCGGGAGCGAAGUUUCCCCGGCAGGAGCGUCCUGUCGGAGCUCUAGAUUGGAUCUGCUCAAGUUCCGCCUCGUGGCGGCGACGAAACCAUGAAAAAGCUCCCUAUUGAUUUAUUUUUCUGGACCAAGACCCUUCAUAUAGCAAAAGAGGGGGCUNNNNNNNNNNNNNNNNNNNNNNNNNNNNNNNNNNNNNNNNNNNNNNNNNNNNNNNNNNNNNNNNNNNNNNNNNNNNNNNNNNNNNNNNNNNNNNNNNNNNGAAUUCACCGACCUUUGUAUCUACGAACCGUCUCCAAACCCUACGAGGCAAAGAAAAUUAAAUGAACAAGAGAGUUAUUAGUUACUUGAUAUUAGGAAAUGAACGAAAUAGGCCGAUCGAUAUAGAGCGCAAAUGAAUGAAAAUAAUUACUUCUGCAGCAUUCUUCUCAUGCCGCCCCAAAGCUUUGGAUCCAUAUUCAGAGAGUCGUGGACGAGACAUUCUGAGGUGUCAACUUUAAUUACUAGCAGAAUCCAGUGGAACCUGCGGAUACGAUACAUGCACAGUACGUCAUGCAUAACUCAUCGAUUAGCCGGCCACAUACCAUGCAUGGAGUAAACAAAAGAGAAUGUGCUCAAGACAGAAACACUCACCCAAAAUGGUAAGGAAAUAGAAUAUCACUUUUGAGUUCCUGCUUUGUAAGAAACUGCCACAGGUCUGCCUCCAUGUCGGCGGGGUGAUGCUCCAACACAUAUCCAUUAACGAUGUGUGGGUCAAUGAACCCAACAUCAUGGAUGUUCCUUACUCUGCAUUCCUUAAUCUUCAUUCUGCAUGUAUAAUAGCGGACACAACAAUAUAGUUACGACAUAUAUAUAGUGCAGGCAAUAUGAACGAGAUGGGGUAGAAAUAAAUCACUUACAGAACGUAGCAACUGAUGAUAGAUUUGUCGAGCUCGCGCAGAUUGAAAAGCUGGAACAAUUCACUCAGAUGAAUUUGUACAUAGUAAUGUUUGAAGUGAUGCUCAUAUCUAACUUCCGCAUAAAUAUAUUCUUUGGCGUUUUUAUUUUUUAUGUAACCCUUGUACCAUUUCAGCAGACCUUUCAUUUGUGGAGGUAGAUCCUCUUCCUGCGCAGGCUCGACGAGAGGCCCAUUCUUCACAUAUGUAAUUACUACCUCCUUCACUGGCGCCUCAUCAAGGCCUAACAGUUCACGAAGAGUAAUACCUAAGUUGGCCGCUUGUUCUCUGGCACUCGUUACAGUCAAUCCAUGUGCUGCCGCAGCUGCUAUGAUAUCGGGGUCAUCCGGACCGGCGACUUUCACUAUAAGCGGGGCAAUCGAUUGUUUACUUUGUUCCCCGAGCUGGGCAACUCGUUUCCCGCUUUUUUUACUUUCUAAUUCCGUUUUCUCGGCCUCCUCCAAGGCUUUGUUCUCCUGGUUCUCCGCCCGCUCUUUCUUCUCCUUCAACAUGAAUGCCUGCCUACGAAGUUCACGUGCAUAGUCGUCAGGCAGAUUCUUCGCGGCUUGGGACGGUGUGCUCAAAAAUGACUUAGCCCACUUCUUUUGCUCAUCAGAAAAUACUGGCUUGGGCUCGGGCUCUCUUUUCUUCUUGCAGUCCGCCUUCCAUUUCUCAUGAUCAGCAGCCGCCCUCGCGGCAGUUUCCUCGGCACUACGUUCCCAAGGCCUUGUGGGGAGAGGCUUCAGUGAUGGCUCCGGUACCUUUGUGGUCUUAGGUACAUAAGGGUCCGGGUUAAUAAUCCAGGACUGCUUCUGCUUCUUUGCCGGAGGUGGAUUUGGGGGCGGCGUCUGAUCACCCGCCGGACGAGGACUGGGGGGCGGCGUCUGAUCACCCGCCGGACGUUGUGGACUGGGGGGCGUCGGCUGACGUGACGGAGGUGUAGGUGAACCGCCACCACCACCACCACCACCACCACCGCCACCGCCACCACCACCACCGUAGGGGGGUGGACUUGUUGUCCUUGGCGCCUCGCCUGGAAACUUGAUAAACUUCUUUUGCCAUAGAAUGAAAUGGCGCUUGACAUCUCCAAGUCUUUUCUCCCCUUCAGGUGUAGCAAUGUCAAUCUCCAGGUCCUCAAACCCUUGGACUAUGUCCUCCACCGUGACACGAGCAUAGCCAUCUUGAAUGGGGUUGUUGUGGUGGAGUGCUCCAGGUAAACAUGGUAAAGCACUGCCGAUGGCUACCUUCAUGGACAUGUUCCCGAUAGGAUAAUACAGAUGACAUUGUUUCAUCUCCUUUAUAUCGUCCACGGGGUAGCGAGGAGGCUCCGGUGCAGUAAUUUCGACCACCAGAGGCUCCGGUGCAGUAAUUUAGAUCGUCGGUGCAUCUGCACCAGCCGGUGGGCCCUCCGUGGAAGCCACGCUGCUUCUCCGCUGCUGGCUUCCGAGAUCCGCUGGAUGAUCUUCAUGCUGCACCCGAGCUGCAUCUCUUUCGGCUACUAGUACACUCAUGGUUUUCUUCAUCACAUCCAUUUCCGAUGCCAACCGCGCCACAACAUCUGCUUCCCGAUCCAUCUUCUUACAAUUUCAGCAAUCGUAAUGCUUGCCUUUCUUUCUUACUGGAUGAAUUUUCGGAAGAAAUCGACGAUGCCCAAGGUACACGUUCUUCUUACAAUUUGGCAAAUGUACACUUUCAGUCUCAUGUAAGCAGUGCGUGCAUGCAUUGUAUCCCUUAUUUGACAGUCCCGAAAGGUUACUAAGAGCAGGCCAAUCGUUGAUGGUUACGAAAAGCAACGCUCGUAGGUCAAAUUCCUCUUCUUUGUGCUCAUCCCACACACGGACACCAGGUCUGCCCCACAGCUGUAAAAGUUCAUCAACUAAUGGCCUUAGGUACACAUCGAUGUCGUUGCCGGGUUGCUUCGGACCUUGGAUGAGCACUGGCAUCAUAAUGAACUUCCGCUUCAUGCACAACCAAGGAGGAAGGUUGUAGAUGCAUAGAGUCACGGGCCAGGUGCUAUGGCUGGAGCUCUGCUCGCCAAAAGGAUUCAUGCCAUCUGUACUUAGACCAAAUCUUAUGUUCCUUGCGUCAGCUGCAAAAUCUUUGAACUCUCUGUCGAUCUUUCUCCAUUGCGUUCCAUCUGCGGUGUGUCUCAACUCCCCGCCCGACUUACAAUCCUCUUUGUGCCAUCGCAACAACUUGGCAUGCUCUUUGUUCCUGAACAGACGUUUCAACCGUGGUAUUAUAGGAGCAUACCACAUCACCUUGGCGGGAACCCUCUUCCUGGGUUUCUCGCCCUCAACAUCGUCACCAGGGUCAUCGCCUCUGAUCUUAUAACGCAAUGCAGUGCAUACCGGGCAUUCAUUCAAAUUCUCGUAUUCACCGCGGUAGAGGAUGCAGUCGUUGAUGCAUGCAUGUAUCUUCAGAACCUCUAAACCUAGAGGGCAGACAACCUUCUUUGCUUCGUACGUACUGGCGGGCAACUCGUUAUUCUUUGGAAACAUAUUCUUCAACAUUUUCAGCAAGUUUUCAAAUGCCGAGUCAGCUACACCUGCCUAUGCCUUCCAUUUCAGCAAAUCCAGUGUGCAGCCCAGCUUUUUCAGACCAUCAUCGCAUCCGGGGUACAACGACUUUCUGUGAUCCUCUAACAUGCGAUCCAAAUUCUCCCUCUCCUUUUCAGUUUCGCAGCGUCUCCGUGCAUCAGCAAUGGUCCGACCAAGAUCAUCAACGGUCUCAUCACGUGCCUCUUCUUCACCUUCACCUUCCCCUUCACCUUCCCCUUCACCUUCAGCAUCCUCCAUGAAAGUAUCACCGAAAUGAGCAAGAUAGCUUUCAUCGAUGAAAUCAUCCCCUUCUUCAUCUUCUUCCAUUAUAACCCCUCUUUCUCCAUGCUUGGUCCAACAAUUAUAGCUUGGCAUGAAACCGUGCCGAAGCAGGUGCAGGUGAACUUCUCUUGAGGAAGAGUAACCCUUCUGAUUCUUACAGUCAACACAUGGACAGAUAACAAAACCCUUCUGCUUGUUCGCAUUAGCCACUACGAGGAAAUCUUUCAAACCCGUAGUGAACUCGCGGGAGAGUCGGUUACCGUACAUCCAUUGCCGAUUCAUCUGCAUUAUUAUAAUAUAAAAUAUAUAAUUAACCAUCAUGCAUUUGUUAAACUAACUAGCUAUAAACAAUAGAAAUUAAACAAUGAACAACACACAUGCAUAUUUUAUCAAUGACACACAUGCAUGAAAGGUUCAAGUUGCUAACCGCGAUCGAGGAGGAAAAAAUAAAUGAGGAAAGUGUGGCUCCAACACUUCAUAUCAUGUUUGUUUCACGCUCUUGGGGCAUUUCAUCAAACACCUUGUGUGCAUAAGAGGAACCAAAAGCAAACCUACACCCCCUUGUGAAGCUUGUGAAGAGAAGUGGCACCCAAUGGCUAAGUGAGUGUGCUGAACUGGUAUAUAUAGGGGAUGAGAUUUAGUCGCGGUUGGCGUGGCCAACCGCGACUAAAGACCUUUAGUCGCGGUUGGCCUGGCCAACCGCGACUAAAGCCCCUCACGUGCACCAGCUGGCCACCGAGCGCCCUGGGCCCAGGACUUUGGUCGCGGUUCGUCUUCCGAACCGCGACUAAAGAAUUCAUUAGUCGCGGUUCCUACAGUUUCGCGACUUAUGGGGCUGGACGGAAGCCUCUUUUUCUACCAGUGGUAGCGUAUCUCCACCCAUAGGUGACCGCAGGGUUUUAUAGAUGAGGCGAACAACUUGCCGUGGCAUACAAGUUGGGAAUGAUAGCUAGGAUACGUUCGUUACAAGGAGAUCGAGGGGAUCGAGAGAGAGAUGCUAACAUAAUACAGGAGAGAGAGAGAAAAAUCUCUAGGACUCUACUCUAUCUACUCUAUCUUAUGUUUAACAUGUCCUAUGUACCACCUUUCAUGCGCAUGCAAAUCAUUCACAUCACCAAACACAUUCAAUCAUUCGACUUUCCAUCACAUGCAUGCUCUUCACAUUAUCAAGCGCUCAUGCAAGCAUUUAACUUUUUUUCACUUCCUAUCACAUGCAAGCCCUUCCCAUCUUCAAAGAACAUAAACGUCCUCCUCAUCGUUAGUUUUUAUUUUUAUUUUUAUUUUUAUUUUCCAACAAUAACAAAGUUUUUUUGAAACGGACGCAAAACAUUUGCCUCAUCGAUUAAUUAAAAAGAAAAUAGUUGCUCAGUUAAUUUAUGAAAAACCGGACCAAAACCGAUACAUACUUCCACAUACGGAAUACUCGCAAAGAAGAAAACGCCAACACCGCUCAAACAACCCUCUAAACACGAAACAACUGCAACACUCAAUGCUUGUAGAACACAAUAAAACUCCUAACGAGCACACCGACGAAAACCGAUCACACUCCAUCAUGAAAUCACGGACGCCUUUUGGAUGACAUCACACUUCUUGCUUUUGUUCUUCAAUUUAUCCUUGCUUGGCUUCUUCUUCAGAGGGCCACUUAUCUUGCUAGAUGUUGGCUGAUCAGCCAGCCAUUUGUCAAGAAAUUCAUAAAACUCUUUGAAUUUUGUAGUGUCGUUGUCGUCAAUCAACAAGCAAGAAGGACCAGUCAUCAACACACUAUGUGCAUCGACAUGCUCAACAAAAGGAAUCACCGACAUGACCUCAUCGACAAUAGGAACCGCUACGACGGUGGACUCAGGCACCUCCGGUUGCACAAAUGACCUUGACGACACAUGCCCCUCACACGAGGCUACCGAUGAGACCACCACCAAAUGCUCCACGGAGAGAGGCGAAGCACGGCUAAAACAUAGAUCUCGUAGCUAGGGCAUGACCUGCAGCACUGGAGUCUCGAGCAUGACGACGGACUUGCACGAGAGUGACGAUGAACCAUUUCCAACAUGAGGGGAGAAACAUCCAUAUAACUCUUGCAUCCCUUCCUCUAUGGAUCUAACAUCUUCCGCACCAGAAGGGCAGGACGCCGGAGUGGUCUGUGACAUGGGCAGGAAGCCGGAGUGGUCUGCGACAUAAGCGGCGCAAGGGAGAGCUUGGUAAGAGCAGCCUUCGCGUGCUCCAAAAAACUUCCAACCCGUACCAGUCAAUUUUGCAGCAGUGUUGUCUAAUUAGCCAGAACGGAAUGCAACAUCACAUCAGGCGGGGUUGCUGGGCGAACAAAUAGCCUCAACCUUUUCUUUGUAUUUCUCCACACCGGUUCAAAUGAAACACAACUGAUUACAUGAAAGUCUUAUAGCCCAGCCAACCCAACGCCUGAGCAACCCACUCCAGCGACUUACGCACACGCACGCGUAAACUCCACGCCGGGCUUCCCUCACAUGAUUCGCAUGACUCAACCUACUUCUUUGUCAGCCACUCGCUCCUUCAUAAGACCCGGUCAAACAUCGAGGCAUCUAGGCUACACAUACUAAAAGACUAACAACACAUGCAACUUCACAUCCGCUGCUAUAGGCCUACUACUACCACCACGAGGACACACACGCUACACACAUACAUACACGACCAUGACCCAGCCUACGGACCCAACCAGACGCACCAACACCGGUCGACGUCGAUCGCACCGUGCUCUGUCACGACUUAUUCCUAACACCCCGCCAGCAGCUUGGACAGAGCGGCUCAGCGCCGACUGCGGCCCCGGGGCCCGAUCCAGAUGGGAUCGAGCAGCGGACAGGGCUGGUUGCAGGACGACGCACCGUGCGCAGCCAGCAGACAUCUCAGCUGGAGGCGGCGACAGCAUGCCCGCCGGGGCGCGAAGCAGCGCUGGGUUGGCGGACGGGCAGCUGCCGAUGUAGACGGAAGGGACGAUGCGUGGUCGCCAGGACGCAGCUCCCACACCCGGUUCCUAGUAGGAGGGAAGGGGAGAUCAGACGACGUGGAGGCCGGAUCUGGGAGCGGCAGACGAGGGGGUGGCCGGAGCAGAGAGAUCCGGCCGCCGCGGCCGCGCGCUCACGCGGUGACGACUACAGUCGCGAGAGCCAUUUGCAGGUCGUGUUUCAGCAACAGGUAUAGUCUCCCCCCCCACCCCACCCCACACCAACAAUAAAUAAUUGAAAUUUAAUGUCAUAAGACAAUAUAACAUGUCUUCAUCCUUCAUUUAUUUUUCAGCACAGUACUGACGCAUGUGGUUAUAUAUACUCACAUACAUUUAUUUUUAUAAACGCAUACAGACACAUCAUACCUUUAUAAACAUCUUUUAAAAAUUAAGCCGACACAUUAUCUUAAGAUUAAUAAAGUCAUCACACACGUUAUUAUAAGGGCCAUGAUAACGUCCACACGUGUGGGUGUUAAGGGUGUUGCUCACAUGUUCUGUGUGGUAUGUAAGGAAAACAGCCCACACGUCUAUGUGUGGACAAAACAGUUAACGCCCACACUGCAUGCAUGCAUGUGGAUAUCUUUUUGAAGUUUUAAUUUUUAAAAUAUUCUAUCUUCUAAAUAAAAAAAUCUGAUUGAAGAUCCGUUUUUAUCAUUAAAUCCAUCGCAAUGGGAUUUUCGAAACUAGAUCUCAUAUUAAUAUGUUUCGAUGGAAAAAAAUCGGACAACAGUUGCCAUGCACUGUAGUUGCCAUGAUAUGUUUCAGCUAUUUUUUUCUACAUUUAAAAUUAAAUUUUAACCUAUUAUAAAACAGAGAAUUAAAAAACUAAACUUGCCAUGAAUCAUAAACUAAAAUCAAAAUGAUUAAUUAAUAAAAAUUGCCGUAAAAAGUAGUUAAAAAAUUGUAGCGGUAGCUCUAAAUCUAGAAAAAAAAUAGAUAAAACAUGUCAUUGUAACUUUAGUAAACACUAUGACAACUACAGUGUAAACAUCAUGACAAUUUUUGGUCAAAAAAUAUUCAUCGAGCAUGGUCAAAAUUCAAAAAUGCCAUGAUCUACAAACUAAAUUUACCGUGAUGGAUUAGUAAAAAUUGUCAUGAGCCAUGCAAUAAAUUUAUUGUAGUUAAUUACUAAAAAUCACCGUAAAAAUAGUUGAAAAUAUAACAUAGCUUUAAAUCUAGAAAACAAAUAGAUACAAUAUGACAUGGCAAUUGUAAUGUAAACACUACGGUAACUACAGUGUAACAUCAUGACAAUUGUUGCAAAAAAAAAUCAUCAAAAUAUAUUAACAUGGAAUUUAGUUUUGAAGAUCUCGUCGGAACGGAUUUAAUGAUGAAAAUAAAUUUUUAACUGAAUUUUUUAAUUAGAAGAUAAAAAAAAUUAAGCCGGAAAUCAAAAAGGUUUCUCUUGAGAUAGAAGUGGGCGUGUGAGCGAAGUGGUUAAACCCCACACACCAGCUCAGUCCUACGUGAUACAAAAAAAUGCCAAAAAAUUCUAAGAUUAAUGUAAAGCACAAAACGAACGCAGAUCCAUAUAUUAGGGCGAUUUGCAAACGUCCACACGUAUGGACGUUAUUUUUUUAUAUAAUCGAUAAAAACAUCUCCUUCUAAUGAACAUACAUCUUUAUAAAAAAUGUAAAAUAAACGUAGGAAAAUACAAACAUCAAUGUUAAGUCUACGAUUGAAACUCCGGGCAGGAGUACACCGUCCUAACUUCACACUUCUAGGCUGAAAAAGGUGCGGUGCUAUUCUCACACACCAUUUUAUUCAUUACUAAAAAAGUUCAAAACAACGAGCGGGUCGUUAUCUACCUAAUUUAAAACCGGAGGCUGUUUUCUAAAAAUAGAAAGCGUCGAGGAUUGAUUCGAUACCGCUAGCUGCUAAUGGAUGAUGCGAGAAGAGAAACACGUGGAGUACAUGCAUGGACAUGUAACAGGAAGAAACGCACGCAUGCAAGCAAGGUGCCGACGGAUGAUGGUAGAAGUGGACAAACGAAGCCAUGGCCUGAUGUGGUGCGGUGGCCACAAGAAAAUCCGACGAGGCCGUGCAUGUACGACGUGUAGCACGCCAUCUCCGGCCAGGCAUGAGGCAUCUAUCUAUCUAAUCUACCUACAAGUAGAGCCAAGCCUUUGCUGCACAGCUUCAUGCACAAUUCAGAUCGACUACGUACCUCGGUGUUGGCUGUAGACAACGAUCGACGACGACGAUAUCCAGCGAAGCAGAGGAAAGCAUAGCAGUCUGAGCAUAUCAUGUGCGGCAUACUGGCGGUGCUGGGGUGCGGCGAUGAGUCGCAGGGGAAGAGGGUGCAUGUGCUCGAGCUCUCGCGCAGGCUCAAGCACCGCGGCCCGGACUGGAGCGGCCUGCACCAGGUCGCCGACAACUACCUCUGCCACCAGCGCCUCGCCAUCAUCGACCCGGCCUCCGGCGACCAGCCGCUCUACAACGAGGACAAGUCCGUUGCUGUUGCCGUCAACGGGGAGAUCUACAACCAUGAGGAGCUCCGGGAACGGCUCCCCGGCCACAGGUUCCGGACCGGAAGUGACUGCGAGGUCAUCGCCCAUCUGGUCAGUCACCCACCACACACCAGCAUUCUUCUCCUGCUUGAUAUAUUAAACCACAGAAUUACAAUCCACAAAUUUAGAACAUGUUUGUUAAACACUAAGUAUGGUGAAUCCGUAAAUUCUACUCCCUCUGUUCCCUUUUAGUAAUUUCAGUAUGAAUAACGAAUGUAUAUAAAUAUAUAUAAACAUACUCCCUUUUCUAAAUGUAUAUAAAUUUUAGUAAUUUCAGUAUUAAUUACAUACGAGUAUUUUAGGGUAUAGUAAUUCAUAUGUAAUCCAUAGUAAAAUUUCUAAAAAGAGAUAUACUACCUCCGGAGGGAGUAUUUAGAAAAGAAGAGGGUAGAAGACAAGACAAAUAUACUCCAGAUAAUCUCUCGAGGUGUGCUUCGGUAGACCCCCUCCACAAAACGUAGAAGGAACAACAUAUACCCAUCUCGUAUUGUACACUACAAGAUGUUAUACAUAUACAAUACGAGGUGGAUACAAUGUAAGAUACGUACGGCGGUCUAUAGUUCACAAUACGAGGUGGAUAUAUGUUCCCUUCUACUUUUUGUGGAGGGGGGGGGGGGGGGGGUGUUCUACGGAAGCGAAGGUGUAAUAUCUAUAUGUCCAUAUUUGUGGCUUGGUAUAUUAAUCAGCGGUAUUAAAGUUAAGUAGAUCAUUGUAUCUCUAUAUGUCCUCAUCUGUCGAAUCAAAGAUUUAUAAAAAAGAAGAUCUCCUCGAACAUACAUCGGUGGACAUGGUUACACAUGUACCCAAAUAAUCAGUAAGAUUUAGAAAAAUUUCACAGAAAAUUAAAUAUUUCUAAAUCUGGUUGAACAAAUAUGUUCGAGUGUUCUAUCCACUUGAUUUUCAUGAAAAAAUGGCAUCCAUUUUGUACAGGGCGACAAAGAAAAAAAGUAGUUGACCUAAAUGGUUUGAAAAUGCUCGGCUCAUUAAACUCGUUAACCUUAACAAGAAAACUAUGAUUGACUAUGUUCGUUUGAAGCACAUUAAGCUCGAAAGUACUUCAAAUGAAUAAACCCUUUUGCUCCAGUUACGAUGUAUUCACAGUGUACUUCUAAUGCAGGAAGAUGAUCACCACAUGAUGAAAUACGCUAGUUCUUGUCUUCGAUGGGUUGAGUUGGGUCGAUUAGAUGGAAUUGAUGGAUUGAUGUGCCAUGAAAUGUGGCCACUUAACAUAAGAAUAUGGGUUGUCUUGUAUUAAUGAGCUGCUCGUGGAACUUGUUAAGCUCAUUAAAUUUAAUCUCCUCAUUAAACUCAUUAAGUUUAACAAGUUGAAACUAGUAAUGAUUAGCUAUGAGUUUAAUGAACUGAGCCACUGAGCAUUCAUUAAGCUCGUGAGGUACGAGCUUUUGGUCCACCCCUACCACGGGUGUGAUUUCUUUGUGAAAAUUGACAUGGGUGUAGAACACUAGACCAUGUAUGUAUUAGCUUAAAC